GACAGAGGUGCCGAGCGUUAGGCGGAAUCACUGGGCUUAAAGCGUGUGUAGGCGGAUUCCUAAGUACCUUGUGAAAUCCCAUGGCUCAACCAUGGAACUGCUUGGUAUACUGGGUGUCUUGAGCCAGCUAGGGGCUACCGGAACAAAUGGUGGAGCGGUGAAAUGCGUAGAUAUCAUUGGAACGCCAAUGGUGAAACAGGUAGCUGGGCUGAUGCUGACGCUGGAGACACGAAAGCCAGGGAGCGAACGGG
rnacentral:rRNA from 1 species